CAGAAGCGGAGCUCACAAGGUCUGAAGAAAAAUCUUUGUGUAAUGGUUUUAAAUUUCAACUGCUGAUUCACUGAACAUUCUUCUUUUACAGCAAGAUGAGACGGAAAUCGGUUUGGGAGGAAACAACCAGCUAUUGACAUUGGGCAUAGGACUAUUAGUUACAGUCGUUGCUGCAACUUACGUAACAAGACUCGCUAAGGAUGCUGUAAAGGAUAUUGAUGAAUAGAAUGGUAGGAUUACAUAGGCAAGAGGGCUAUUCCGAUAGCAGAGUAGCACGCAUUGUACAUCACUGGCAUCUUUUGAUGCGAUCUAAUCUACGAAAUAUAAGCAAUUGUCAGAGGAAAAA